rnacentral:tRNA from 1 species
GAGGAACUAGUUAAAUACAUAAUAUUGUUUUGUCAAGACAAAAUUGCUAGUGAGACUCUUGCGUUCCUCA